rnacentral:pre_miRNA from 14 species
UCGCUGAGACCAUAAUGGUGGUGGCUUAGUGGUCGUAUGUAUGACGUCAUUUACUGGAUUUUUUAGGAGUGACAUCAUAUGUACGGCUGCUAAACUGCUGCAUGACACGUCUGUCUUGGA